CGUGGGGGGGGGCCUAAUAAUGCAGUCGAGCGCGGGAAGCGAGUGGAUCCCUUCGGGGUGAAGCUCGUGGAACGAGCGGCGGACGGGUGAGUAACACGUGGGCAACCUGCCUGUAAGACCGGAAUAACCCCGGGAAACCGGGGCUAAUGCCGGGUAAUACUUUUCUUCGCAUGAAGGAAAGUUGAAAGAUGGCUUCUUGCUAUCACUUACAGAUGGGCCCGCGGCGCAUUAGCUAGUUGGUGAGGUAACGGCUCACCAAGGCGACGAUGCGUAGCCGACCUGAGAGGGUGAUCGGCCACACUGGGACUGAGACACGGCCCAGACUCCUACGGGAGGCAGCAGUAGGGAAUCUUCCGCAAUGGACGAAAGUCUGACGGAGCAACGCCGCGUGAACGAUGAAGGUCUUCGGAUCGUAAAGUUCUGUUGUUAGGGAAGAACAAGUACCGUGCGAAUAGAGCGGUACCUUGACGGUACCUAACGAGGAAGCCCCGGCUAACUACGUGCCAGCAGCCGCGGUAAUACGUAGGGGGCAAGCGUUGUCCGGAAUUAUUGGGCGUAAAGCGCGCGCAGGCGGUUCCUUAAGUCUGAUGUGAAAGCCCACGGCUCAACCGUGGAGGGUCAUUGGAAACUGGGGAACUUGAGGACAGAAGAGGAGAGUGGAAUUCCACGUGUAGCGGUGAAAUGCGUAGAUAUGUGGAGGAACACCAGUGGCGAAGGCGACUCUCUGGUCUGUUUCUGACGCUGAGGUGCGAAAGCGUGGGUAGCAAACAGGAUUAGAUACCCUGGUAGUCCACGCCGUAAACGAUGAGUGCUAGGUGUUAGGGGGCUUCCACCCCUUAGUGCUGAAGUUAACGCAUUAAGCACUCCGCCUGGGGAGUACGGCCGCAAGGCUGAAACUCA
rnacentral:rRNA from 1 species